AACGCACAUUGCGCCCCUUGGUAUUCCUUAGGGCAUGCCUGUUCGAGCGUCAUUUACCUCAAAGGCCCCCCGCUUCUGUGGGGGGGUUGUUGGGCGCAUGUCCCGCCACAGGUGCGGACACGCCCUAAAUGCAUUGGCGGCCUUCGUCUUGGGCUAUCGAGCGCAGCAGACUCGCGCCUCUGGUCCAGUGCGUUGGCGUCCAUGAAGCAAAUCACAUCUUGACCUCGGAUCAGGUAGGGAUACCCGCUGAACUUAA
rnacentral:misc_RNA from 1 species